AGAAACUGAAAAUGUCAGCUGAAGGUCAAAGAGUGGAUGACAGUCCAAGUACAAGUGGAGGCAGUUCCGAUGGAGACCAAAGGGAUGGGGUUAAUAAUGAACAAGAUCGUGAAAAAGUACAGCCGAAGAAGAAAGAAGGAAAGAUAUCCAGCAAAACGGCUGCCAAACUGUCCACUAGUGCCAAACGGUAUUUAUAGUUUUUUGUUGUUUUGGUUUUUGAC